GGGGAAUAGAAACUGAGAAAGAGAUUUACGAGUUUACGAUACAGAUACGGUCCCAUCCCUGUCUUUCCCUUUUCUUUUUCUUGUUUCUCUCUCUUCGCGCUUUCUCUCUCUUCUCUACGCUCCAAUCUCACUUCCUUCCUUCGAUCUCUUCCCAACAAAGAUUUACUUCGAAAUCGGAAGCACAAUGGUUCAAACUCAAAGCCCUAACUCGAUGCCGUCUGACUCAGCGCCGACUCUCCGAUGAUCAUGGAGCUCCCCGAUUCCACCGGCGGCGACCGCAACCUUAACGCGCCGCCGCCGCCGCCGCCGCCCCAGCACAACAACCAUCACCAGGACGCUCGCUCAGGCCUCGGAAUCGACCUUAACGAGAUCCCUUCGCCUUCCUCCUUGUUCCCCGAAACCCUACCGGACUCCGUCACCGACGUCGUCCGCACUUAUCACGAGAACCCCGGGCCGCCGCCGGGAGCCCCCGCUUCCCUCCCCAGUGGUGGCCUCGCUCCUUGCGCUGCCUGCUCCAAGCCCUGCCCUACCGCCGCCGGGAGCCACCACCACCUCGUCGUGUGCGACGGCUGCGAGCGCGGCUUCCACCUCGCCUGCGCCGGAAUUCGCGGCGGAGGACGCCAGGCUGCGAGCCUGGAGGAGUGGGUCUGCGGCGAGUGCGUCGCCUCUGGAGUGAAGAGCAAGCGGUGGCCGUUGGGAGUGAAGCAGCUUCUCGAUAUCAACGCUCCGCCACCGAGCGAAGCCGAAGCCGAAGGCGUCGGCGAAGGAGACGUGCAUGAUUUGAGAAAGCAAACUCUCGGUGAUAAUUAUUUUGGUGCCAGUCCAUUUGGUGCCCCUGUGACAUAUUCAAACUUUUACAAUGGAAAUGGUACUGGCUUCCAAAAGGCUUCUGGAGGUUUGACACAAGCUGAUAGAGUGGGUUUUGAGGAUAUAUUGAAUCAUACUCAAUCGAUUACUAGAAAAUUUGAGGAGGCUCUUAAAGAUUUUAUAUCUGAACGGCGCGGUGUACUAGAGGAAGGUUGGCGAGUGGAAUUUAGACAAUCAGUUAGCAGCUCUGAACUAUAUGCAGUUUACUGUGCACCUGACGGAAAGAUAUUUGAUUCUGUGUAUGAAGUAGCUUGUUAUUUGGGGCUAAUGUCUGGCUUCAAUGCCGUUGAAUCUGAAAUAAGAAAUGAGAGGUCUCUUGUGUCUUUAGGUGGUUCUCUAUCUAGGAAAAAAAAGUCAACAAGAUCUCCCGUAGUCAAUGGUUUCAUGGAAAAACGGGGAACCAUGAUGAAUAGUAAUUGUAAGGAUCCUUCUUCUGAAGGUUUAAAUGUGGAGUGUGCUAGUACUAGGGGGAAUAUCGCAAAACCCUAUGAAAGUGGAAGAAAAGAGGAUGGACAGUCCUUCCCUCAGCAAUUUGAGGAUGAACUCCCUCUACAGUUCAAGGACUUCUUUGUUCUCUCAUUAGGGAAAGUUGAUGUGAGACCAUCGUAUUAUGAUGUUAAUCUUAUAUGUCCUGUAGGUUAUAAAUCUUGUUGGCAUGACAAGAUUACUGGUUCUCUUUUUACAUGUGAAGUUUUGGAGGGUGGUGAUUCUGGACCUAUAUUUAGGAUCCAGAGGUGUUCCUGUUCCGAAUUUCCUGUUCCAGUUGGGUCAACCAUCCUUUCAUUGUCAAAAUGUUGUCAACUUGCAAGUCAAGCUGAUGAAGGCGAUGGAAAAACUAAUGGUAGUAUGGAUUUGGAUGAUGGUGAUAAUAUCCAGAUGAUGCUUCAAGACCCUUGUGUACCAACUGAAAAUGAUGUCCUAAGUUGCUCUGCAAACUUCUCAAUUAAGGAUACUCAUACACCAGAUGCAUUAGGCCCUGCGACUGGUUCAGUUCAAGAUAAUGUUAUAAAUUCUUUAGCUGGUGAGUUUAAUGAUGGAAUUGGUGAAUUUUGUGUGGAAGAGCGGUCAUCGUGCUCUGCAUGGAGAGUUAUUUCUCAGAAGUUAGUUAAUGCUUACAAGGAUUUCUGCAAACAGAAAGGAACUCUCAAGUUCUAUUGUAACCAUGUUAAGAAUGAAACAUGCUUACAUCAAUGGGAUUUAGGGAAUGUAAAAAGUGAUGCGUUGGAUAAAUUUUGUGGUUCCCUCAGUUCAGUUGGCAUCCCAGAUGUAAUUUAUGCAGACAGUGAUCUGGAAGGUAUCUCUGAGGCUUUGAGAAAAUGGUUGGAGCAGGAUAGGUUUGGAUUGGAUGUUGAAUUUGUUCAAGAAGUAUUGGAACAGCUUCCUGGCGUUGAAUCUUUGCAGUAUGAACUUUUAAAUUGUAGAGAUAACAGCUCGUCAUUGCCAACAGUAGAAAAUGGUUUCUUAGUAGUUGAAUGGAGGGAUGGGUCAAAAAAUCAGGAAGAAGCACUUCAAGGUUUAUACAGGAGGUCCAAAAAGGCAAGUUUGACUAAAAAAAGCUUUAAGGAAGGUCGUCGUCCACCACUUGGGAAGCCAUUAUGCUCCAGGGCUCCGGGUGAGCUCAUUGGUGACAUUUUUCAGGCUUGGGAACUUUUAGAGCGAUUUAACGAAGUUCUGGACUUGCAAGAACCAUUGUCAUUAGAUGGGCUUGAGAAGGAACUAAUUAACCCUUGGUUUGAUGGAUUGGAUUUUCUUGAGAAAUCAGAGAGGGACAUGGACGAAAGACAAGUUUUAAUUUCCCAAGGAACUGAUGGUAGUUGCAGACCAUUAUUGUCCCCAGGAAGUGAUACUGGUCCAUCAGGUCCCAUGGAAAGUUCUCAUGCAUUUAUUCAAAUGGAAACUGAAGCAAUGAAGGAGGCUGCUCAAGUUAAGCUCGCAUCUUUCACUUAUGCCAGAUGCUUUGGUGUAACUUUGACCAAGGCUCAUAAUUCACUGCUGAGAGUGCUAAUAGGUGAAUUGCUAUCAAGGGUGGCUGUCCUGGUGGAUCCAAAUUCUGAACCUGGAGAAACACGAACAAGACGGGGAAGAAAGAAAGAUAUGGAUAGUGGUCUUCCUGCUAAACGAACCAAACUGAACAUGCUUCCUAUUAAUGAGUUGACCUGGCCAGAAUUAGCUCGGAGAUAUAUCUUGGCUUUUUUAACAAUGGAUGGCAACCUUGAGUCUGCAGAAAUUACUGCCCGUGAAAGUGGUAAAGUAUUUCGCUGCUUACGAGGUGAUGGUGGUUUGCUGUGUGGUGCUCUUACUGGUGUGGCGGGAAUGGAAGCAGAUGCACAGCUGCUUGCAGAGGCUACAAAGAAAAUUUUUGGUUCUUUGAACAGACAAAGUGAUGUACUAACUAUGGAAGAAGAAGAGUCUGAUGCAAAGGUUGCUUCUGAGAAAAAUUUGGCAAAUGAUGGUAAUGUUCCUGAAUGGGCUCAAAUGCUAGAACCUGUCAGAAAGCUACCAACAAAUGUGGGUACUCGAAUAAGAAAGUGUGUUUAUGAUGCUCUGGGUAAGGAUCCACCAGAAUGGGCAAGGAAAAAAUUGGAACAUUCAAUUAGUAAGGAAGUGUACAAGGGCAAUGCUUCUGGACCAACAAAGAAAGCAGUUCUUUCAGUGUUGGCUGAUGUUGCUGGUGAAGGACCGCAAUCAAAUCCCAGUAAAGGACAGAAAAGGAAGAUUGUUAUAUCAAUUUCUGACAUUAUGAUGAAACGAUGUCGCAUUGUAUUACGGCGUGCUGCUGCUGCCGAUGAUUCAAAGGUUUUUUGCAAUUUGCUGGGAAGAAAAUUGAUAAAUUCUUCAGAUAAUGAUGAUGAGGGGCUUCUUGGUUCUCCGGCCAUGGUGGCCCGCCCUAUUGACUUCCGCACUAUUGACCUUAGACUAGCUGCCGGAGCUUAUGGUGGAUCUCAUGAAGCUUUUCUUGAGGAUGUCCGGGAGCUGUGGAACAAUGUUCGUGUUGCUUUUGGGGAUCAACCUGAUUUACUCGAAUUGGCUGAAAAAUUAUCCCAAAACUUUGAAUCUUUAUAUAAUGAGGAGGUUGUCAUGAAUGUGCAAAAACUGAUGGAGUAUGCUAAACUGGAAUGCUUAACUGCAGAAAUGAGAAAGGAAGUUGAUGAUUUUAUUGAGUCAAUGAAAGAAACUCCAAAGGCCCCUUGGGAUGAGGGAGUCUGUAAAGUAUGUGGCAUUGAUAGGGAUGAUGAUAGUGUUUUACUAUGCGAUACUUGUGAUGCUGAGUAUCAUACAUAUUGCUUAAACCCUCCCCUCGCAAGGAUCCCUGAGGGAAACUGGUACUGUCCUUCCUGUGUUGAUGGUAAACAUGCAACUCAAGAUGUUACAGAACGUACACAGGUUAUUGGCAAACGCCGAAGUAAAAAAUUCCAGGGUGAAGUUAAUUCUCUUUACUUGGAAUCCCUUACUCAUUUAUCAGCUGUAAUUGAAGAAAAAGAAUACUGGGAGCACAGCUUGGCCGAGAGAACUUUCCUUCUCAAAUUUUUAUGUGAUGAGUUGCUUAACUCUUCCAUGAUACGCCAGCACCUUGAACAAUGUGCAGAGUUGUCUGCUGAGUUACAUCAGAAAUUGCGUGCACAUUCUGUAGAGUGGAAAAACCUGAAAACCAGAGAGGACGUUUUGUCCACAAAAGCAGCUAAAAUUGAUACUUUCUCAUUAAAUACUGCUGGAGAAGUUGGUCUUAGGGAAGGGGUUACUACUUCAUUUUCAAAUACUGCUAAAUGUGUGGUCCAGCCACAUACUGCAGUUGACAAUCCUAGUAAUUUUGGGGUAUUUGUUGAUGGUCUGCCUUCAGAAGAGACAACUAAAGAGAAGUAUAGGUUUGAUAGUGUAGAUAAAAGCAUAUCUGUGACAAAUUCAGAUUCCGAUAGCCAAAAUUUGAAUUCCUUAGAUGUAGAGGGACAAUUUAGAAAUGUCUCUGGUGCUGUGGAGUCUCAAUGUACUGAUAAAUCUCCCAAAUCUUUUCCAUCACCAAAUAUGUCUCAAGAAAUAAAUGGUUCUGUUGGAGCAGCUGAUGCACAGGGUAACCACCAUAAAUGUGAGGGAAGGGACAUGUCUACACCUGUGACAUGCCAGCAAGGUGGGGUGCCAGUUGAUGCUUCACAUAUGGUUUUGAACGAGUCAGAACCCUAUCACCUUGAGCUCAAUGCCAUCAAGCGUGAUAUUUCACUAUUGCAGGAGUCCAUAACUAAUGUAGUAUCACAGCUGCUUAGGCUCUCUGUUCGCCGGGAAUUUUUGGGCAUUGAUUCCAUCGGUCGAUUGUAUUGGGCUUCAACUUUGCCAGGAGGACAUUCACGUAUAGUUGUUGAUGCAAGUGCUGCACUGCUUCAUGGAAAAGGAAUGUCAUUUAGCAGAGACUAUGUGGAGAAGUUUUCUGUUCUGCAGAAUUGUUCACUAACUGAGAAGGAUUCCUCUCCUUUCAUGUCUCAGCUUAGAAAUGCUUUGGUCAAUAGUGCACCAUGGAUUGCUUAUGAAACUGAUGCUGAAAUUGAAGAGCUCUUAGGUUGGCUGGACGAUAAUGACCCUAAAGAAAGGGAACUGAAAGAUUCCAUUAUGCAGGGGCCAAGAUCAAGAUUCCAAGAGUUCCUUAAUGGGAAGACCGAAGAGCAGGUUGAGGACCAGGGACCUGUUUCUAUUCCCGGAAAUAGAGAGAAAACAAUAUCUAACUCUCUUGUUACAAAGGCGACUUCCUUGCUGGAAAAGAAAUACGGUCCCUUCUUUGAGUGGGAUAUUGAGACGUGGAAGAAGCAAAAUAAAAAGUCCAGAACAACUGAUGAUGAAAAGUUGUUUAGGUGUGAGUGCCUUGAACCCAUAUGGCCCUAUAGGAGACACUGCACAUAUUGUCACAAAACUGUUUUGAGUGAUGUUGAAUUUGAUGGACACAACGAUGGCAAGUGUAAUGCAGGUCUUCCGGUUGCAGAGAAGAAUAGGAACAAAAUUGGAUCUUCUAAAGGAAAAGGGAACUUAAGAUGUGAUACCUCACGAGAGAAAUUCAGUGCUGAUGCAGAGACAGCUGGAACCAAAAUUGGUGGUGGUUCUAAGCUUAGCUCAAGAGUGAUUAAAUUUUCAAAUGAAGAAUCCACAUGCCCAUUUAAUUUUGAAGAUAUAUGUUCCAAGUUUGAGACAAAUGAUUCCAACAAGGAACUUGUCAAAGAAAUAGGUCUUAUUGGUUCAGAUGGUAUCCCUUCCUUUGUUCCUUCUGUAUCUCCUUUUGUUAUCGAGUAUGCACAAUUCUCAACUUCAAAGGAUGACAUUAUUGGUGUUUUGUCCAAACCAACGGAAAGCUGGGGUUCUCAGGGAAAUACUGAUGGAGCUGGUGCAUGUCUUGACCAUAACUCAGGCAUUUCUACUGGUAGGUUAGCUGCCAACGAAAGCAAUAAAUCCAUUAAAUCAUCCUCGGGAGAACAAAGAGAUGGGAAAUUCCCUUUUUGUGGUCCUGUUUCAGAUAUGGGAGAUGGCUGUUGUGUGGUUCCUUUGUCGUCAUUGAAACCAUUAGUUGGAAAGGUUUCUCACAUCUUGAGGCAACUGAAGAUUAAUCUGCUUGACAUGGAUGCUGCACUCCCGGCAUUUGCUCUGAGACCAUCAAAGGCCGAGUCUGACAGAAGACAGGCUUGGCGUGCAUUUGUGAAAUCUGCAGAGACUAUAUACGAGAUGAUUCAGGCGACAUUUACCUUAGAAGAUAUGAUUAAGACGGAGUACUUGAGGAAUGACUGGUGGUACUGGUCAUCAUUCUCAGCUGCUGCGAAAUCUUCUACUUUGCCUUCCCUUGCCCUUCGCAUAUACUCUCUUGAUUUAGCCAUUAUAUACGAGAAAACGCCCAAUUCUAGUCUUACUGAUAGCUCUGAACCUUCUGGCACAGCAGAGACGAGACCCCCGAUGAAUGUGGAUGCAGAGAAAUCCAAAGGAAGCCGGAAGUCAAACAGGAAAAGGAAGGAAUCAGAUGGUUGAUCUUAUACUUGCAUUUCAGAAAAUCAGAUAUCUGGUCAGUCUUUUGUGAUGUGAUGUGAUCAUCCACUGGUAUGACUGGUUCAUUGGGCAAACCUAAGGCUGUAAAAUGGGGCAGCCACAGCUGCUGGUGUCUCUUGCCUGCUUGUACAUAUAGGUAAAGCUGACCUGCUAACUCGGAUGCCUUUUUUUGGCUAAGCAGAAUUUAUAACGUUAUCUGCUUUCAGUGGGGCAACAGUACGAGGGAAUUGUAAGGAUGCGUCCAAUUUUGAAAUUAUAAUUCUGCUGCAGAUGUCCAGUUGGCUGCUCCAUAGCGAGAAGAACCAUUUUUCAUUUUUCUAGCAGAGUCUGAUCCAUAUAUGUAUACAAAUGGAAUUAUUGUAAAGGAAUAGGAGGAAAGUAGUAAAAAAGAAAAGGAUGGGAAAGAAGUCAGAAAAUGUUAAAGUUGAGCAGUUGUAGGCAAUAUUUCAUUCUUUAUACUUUUUCUCUCACCCACCCCACCAAAGGUCCUGCACACGCAUGCCCUUGAUUUUGUUCCUGGGCAUCUGCAGAUGUGUUAGAAUGCAGGGGGAAUUAUUGGAAUCAAAGCUUUUUUUCCAUCUGCUUUGUGCUUGCGUCGUGCGUGAUCUUGAUUUUUUUUAUUUGCAGAAUUCCUAUAAUCUUCUAGUCAUGUGUGUUGGGGUUAAUGUAUACACACUAAUAUUUUACCCCCUCCUUCACUGUUUUAGCGUCAAAGUAAGUAUUUAGUUACACUUUGGGGGUUACAUUGUUAUAGCACUGCUGUGGGGUAUGUCUGGUAGUUAAUGAUUUGUGGUAUUACGUCAUAUGCAUUGCACGUGCCGAGAUAGCACUUGCAUGGAUUUUUCUGCCUAUAUCCCUCAAUUUACUUGUGACACCUUUCUAGUAUUCUGAUUCAUAUUUCAGAAACAGAAAGUCCAUUUCCUCAUUGUGGAGGUGUCAAUGACAAUUGUGGGGUGGAGGAAGCUGGAUACCCCUUUCAUAACGUGGUAUUCUCGUUAUACCAAAUUGAGGAAGCCGAUAUAGGUGAAAUUCAAUUGUUUUGACAAUCUGCUGAGUCAUAUUAAAGGUCAACAUAAAUUGAUGAGGCAAGAUUCCACUUUUGAAGGAAGAACACCACCAAAUACUUUAGAACAAAGUAAACCAUAUCAAACACAAACAAAAACUACUCCACAACAUACCAUUCAAAUCCAAAUUUUCAAUACAAAAAAGUAUCAAAGAUCAAUUCAAGAGCAAGGAGCGAAAGAAAAUAACCUCGGAAAGCGAGUUCAGUGUUGCCGAGGAAGAGCAUGUUGGUGUUCCCGCGAGAAGCACAGGCAUCAAAGAAAAGCCGUCCAGACUCCAUGGCACUUCGGUCACUCACCACCGCCGGCGAGAGAAAGAGAUUAGUACUUAAAAAGUGUUUUUUUUGUUUGUGUUUGUUUUUU